rnacentral:rRNA from 1 species
AUACAGAGGGUGCGAGCGUUAAUCGGAAUUACUGGGCGUAAAGCGCGCGUAGGCGGUUCGGCAAGUCGGGUGUGAAAUCCCCGGGCUCAACCUGGGAAUUGCAUCCGAAACUGCCGGGCUAGAGUGUGGUAGAGGGAAGCGGAAUUCCGCAUGUAGCGGUGAAAUGCGUAGAUAUGCGGAGGAACACCAGUGGCGAAGGCGGCUUCCUGGACCAACACUGACGCUGAGGUGCGAAAGCGUGGGGAGCAAACAGGAUUAGAAACCCUAGUAGUCC